rnacentral:rRNA from 1 species
CCUACGGGAGGCAGCAGUGGGGAAUAUUGCACAAUGGGGGAAACCCUGAUGCAGCGACGCCGCGUGAGUGAAGAAGUAAUUCGGUAUGUAAAGCUCUAUCAGCAGGGAAGAAAAUGACGGUACCUGAGUAAGAAGCCCCGGCUAACUACGUGCCAGCAGCCGCGGUAAUACGUAGGGGGCAAGCGUUAUCCGGAUUUACUGGGUGUAAAGGGAGCGUAGACGGCAGUGCAAGUCUGGAGUGAAAGGCGGGGGCUCAACCCCCGGACUGCUCUGGAAACUGUACGGCUGGAGUGCAGGAGAGGUAAGUGGAAUUGCUGGUGUAGCGGUGAAAUGCGUAGAUAUUAGGAGGAACACCAGUGGCGAAGGCGGCUUACUGGACUGUAACUGACGUUGAGGCUCGAAAGCGUGGGGAGCAAACAGGAUUAGAUACCCGGGUAGUC